rnacentral:misc_RNA from 1 species
GCUGAUGAGUCUGCUGUGGCUGUGGCUGUGGCUGAUGAGGUUGAAUAUGGUGGUCGCCAUUGGAGGCGACCUCGAUCAUCAUAUCUCUGCUACCUUCUUCCUUGUAAAUAUCGAUUGGGCGAGGCUUAUCAGACAAGUACAUAGUCUCUGAUUCGGGGAAUUCCGUGAAAUUUCGAGAAAGAUGGGACUUGGGAGAGCGAGCGUGCGGAGUACGAAGGAACGACGAGCCCACCACCUUCAAAUUUUCAUUUCUGACUCUUAAGUUCAG